rnacentral:tRNA from 1 species
GCGGGUGUGGCGCAGCUUGGUAGCGCGCUUCGUUCGGGACGAAGAGGUCGUGGGUUCGAAUCCCGCCACCCCGA